UGGUUUUACUCUAUGACGCGAUGCCUUACCAAAGAGUUGUCCGGCUAGUCUGGAAUUAAUGUGUGUCUUCAGCGUCUCUCUUACUUGGAAUGGGGACGUUCGGUAAUCGCGCACCGUCAAAAUCAGCUGCUCGCCUCGAGUCCAGUUUAGGACUCCUCGUUCUAGUCCAUUAGUCGCAGCAGCCGCUGUCGCUGCUUCCGCUUUGGCUGGAUGCCGCAGCUGCCGUGCGGCUUUGGGGCUGGGCUACGUCAUGAGACGACGGGGAGCGAUUGAGUAGGAGUUCCUCAUCAUCGGUAUCAAGGCGAGCGGCCUUUGCGGCCGUGUCCCGGCGGUUCCCAGCCACCGAAGGAAGGCCAGAUCAUGGCAUCUGUCGGCGUUCUCCCCACAUACUUCAAGUACAUUAGCGUGGCGCCCGGCGGAUCAGCUCGUAGGACUUUGCGGGUGCGGGAGAAAUACAUUGUCGUGUUGGUGCUGGCCACCUUCCUGAUGGUGUGCAUCGGGGCCGUGUUUUACCUGCCUGAACUGCGCGCGUCCAACGCCUAUCGCCAUAUCAAAAAUGCUGGGCCGGACCUGCUGCUACCCCCGCCGCAAGUGAUCGAAGACAACGUUCCCCGUCACAACGGUAUUGUCGCCGACGAGGAAGACCCGCAUAGGGCCGAGGACCGAAACAAGCUCCAGGAGAAAAUCAUUCAGGACCUCGGUCAGGGCCUCCCUAUGCAGGUCGCCAGGCCCGAAGCAGCCAGGCCUGCGUCUCCGUCUAAACUACCGUCGACUGCAGCCCGGCCUCCACAGAGCCCGGGUCUCCCCGCUGUCGACGCUAAAGCGCCCCAGGUUUCGCAUGUUCCUGACGCACAGAGAGAGGCGGAGAACCGCGAAAGAAGACAAAAAGUUAGAGAGAUGAUGAAGCACGCCUGGGACAACUAUGAGCGCUAUGCCUGGGGCGAGAAUGAGCUGCGACCCGUGUCCAAAAAGGGCCACUCAGCGGGCAUCUUUGGCAAGACUGCCAUGGGAGCCACCAUCGUGGAUGGCAUGGACACCCUCUAUCUCAUGGGCAUGGCCGAGGAAUUCCAGCGUGCUCGAAAUUGGGUGGCAGAGAACCUCAGUUUGAAUGACGUAAGUUCGGACAUCUCUGUCUUCGAGACCAACAUUCGCUUUGUAGGUGGCCUGCUUUCAUGCUACGCCUUGACUGGGGACAACAUGUUCAAGGACAAGGCUGAGGAAAUUGCCCGUCUGUUGCUUCCAGCCUUCAACACACCAAAGGGUAUACCCCAUGCCCUCAUCAACAUCAAGACGGGUGUAAGCAAGAACUAUGCUUGGGCCUCAAGUGGUGGCUCUAUUCUGGCUGAGCUGGGCACCAUGCACCUAGAGUUCUCCUACCUUAGUGACAUCACGGGCAACCCGAUCUUCCGCGAGAAAGUGGACAAAGUGCGACAGGUUUUGGCCGACCUUGACAAGCCCAAGGGCCUCUACCCCAACUACAUCAACCCCAAGACAGGACGCUGGGGACAGCACCACAUGUCUAUGGGAGCCCUGGGAGACAGCUUUUACGAGUACCUCCUGAAGGCAUGGAUCCAGUCUGAUGGUGAAGACGUACAGGCCAAGCGAUUACUGUUGGAUGCCGUCAAGGCCAUCGAGUCAAAGAUGUUGCUGCAGUCUAGGAGUGGGUUCCUCUACCUAGCUGAGAUCAAGUAUGACCGAGUGGAGCCAAAAAUGGACCAUCUGGCCUGCUUUGCAGGUGGCUUCUACGCCCUCAUUUCCCAAACACUUGGGGAGGACCCAUCGGUUACGAAGGACCACUUCAUGGAUGUAGCAAAGAACAUCACCAACACUUGUCAUGAGUCCUACGACAGGACGCCGACCAAGUUGGGCCCAGAGUCCUUCCGUUUCACAGAGCAGUUGGAGGCCAAAGCCACUAAGCAGAAUGAGAAGUACUACAUUCUACGCCCAGAAGUGAUUGAGUCGUACUUCUACCUGUGGAGGAUCACCAAGGACCAAAAGUAUCGUGAUUGGGGCUGGGAAGCUGUUCAGGCUCUGGAGAAGCACUGCCGUGUGGACGGUGGCUACACCGGCCUGAAGAACGUUUACCAAACAGACGGUCCCAAGGACGACGUCCAACAGAGCUUUUUUCUUGCGGAAACGCUCAAGUACCUCUACCUGCUCUUCUCGGACGACUCAGUGCUCCCACUAGACCAGUGGGUUCUGAACACAGAGGCACAUCCGCUACCCAUCAAGAACCGGAACCCAUCUUACAGGCCGAGCAUCAGGUGAUUGGGCGCACCAACUACCCAUCACUCCGCAGCCGUUCUUCCGCCCUCCGGUGUCCAACCUCCGAUCAGAGUGUAUAAGUCCACCAUCGUCUGGGCCGUGCCAGCGACGGUUGGACCACACGAGCAUCUAGUGACUGAACCAUAGACUAGGCAAACAGCAAUGACAGUGGAGCCGACGUGAGUCACCUUCUGCGUGAUCUUACGGACUAACCGCAGAUGGGUGAGGGAAGGUGAACAGGCUGAGCAGGAGAAACUGUAAUGGCUGGACAGUUUCUCACGGGAUGUAGCCAGUCAACGCUACAGUGAGUGUGUAUCUGCUUUUGCACAUGGCUGCAAUGUGGUUGGAACGUCGCCAUCGUCUUCUACUUGGGAGAGUUGCAAUGAACACUAGUUGUUGCUUUGGGGGGCCUUCUUCUGCGUUGUUUUUUCCUUUGGCCUUUUUUCACAGCGAUGUGUCUGACACAUGAACUCAUGUGCUUUCUUCAGCAUGUCGCUGAAUCACUGCCGUGGUGCUGCGACAUUCCCCAGUGAUAUUUCUAGAGGUUCCCCCUAUUUCCUUCCAUUUUUUUUUCAUCAUUUCUGAUCAUGAUUUUCAGAGCUGUUUAGUUAAUAUAAUAUGAGACCAUAGAUUUUGUGCACAGGGUGAAAAGGUGUGAGUGUUUUAUCUGUUUUCAUUUUUUUUUGGUAGAAGGCAAGUGUGAUGAGUGUGGUAUAUACAUAUAUAUAUAUUUUCUUUUUCAUAACUAUGUGCUUCGCUGCAGUUCCAGGCUCGGCAAUAAGCAAGUAUUUUAAAGAUUCAGGAAACAGCAGAUAUUGCUGUCACGCUGCUUUAGAUGUCAGCAGUCAGUCCUAUGGCUCUUUGUGCAAGAUAGCACAAAUUACGAGUGCUGUACAUAUACUUACAACCUGCUGGCCCAGGCUACUGCUGCAUCCACUUAAAGCAAAUGAAAAUAAACAUCACUACACUCAGGAAUGCAGUGUUUGCUACUAAUCUCACAUGUUCGAGCUGCAGUUUAUUUUUUUGUUGUCCCAUAUGAUCGUGCUUGUUGCAUUACCCGAGGUCAUUUUCAUGCUGCAGCUCGUCAUAAACAGCAAAUCAAAUGUUUACAUUUUCUUGCCCGCUUAUUGCAGUAUUUUCGUUUUGCUCACACAUUUCUUGUUCAAGCAUCUCAAAACAUGGUAGUUCACUGAAUUUGUGUAAGCGAGGGUUUUUAUUUUCUUACAUAUAGCAACUUGAAUUUUUGGAUGAGAGCUAUGCACAUUAGGUCAUUUCUUAUUUAAACUCUCUGUCCCGAGUCCCAGCAGAGGCAUAGAAACAAUAUUACUGACGUAGAUAUUAGGUAGGCUUUCUACACAUAAUCAACGAAGCAUACGUGCCAUCUGGGUUGCACUACAGCAAAGUGCGACUUGCAGGACCUAGGGCAAAGGAGGUAUAUGCAGCCCAGUGCAGAGUGGUUUGACCACUUCAGUGAUGGAACCACUCAAGCACUUUGGAAACAUUAUGUGGAAAGUAUUAGUUAUCUUUCUACACCACUUCUGCACAUUGAAAAACACUUGUAUACGUCUGUUCAGCGUCAUGUGUGAUGAUGCGUUGUCUAUAUUGUUGUACUCUGACAAAGAAACAUGAUGAACUUAGAAACAGUUCUCUUUUGUACUCGACACGGUAGUACUCUGUUGUCAAGCAUUACUCUCUUGAGAACUACAGGGCUACAGAUUUGUUUGUUAUGGAGCUGAACUUUGUUGAAACCUUUUUCUACAAAACUCUUUGCUCUAUGCCGUCUUUGAGUGUGCACUAAUGACUUCAGCACUGAAUUCAUGAUGUUGCAGUGAUCUGUUGUGUACUCACCGAAUGCUGCGAGCAGUCCUGGCGCAAAGGCUUUGAAUGGAGCAGCAUUCUACUAGCUCUGGUUCAUGAAACUGGUGGUUCUGUGCCACUGACAUUGCAUUCAGACGCUCACAAUAUCUCUUUGCGAAGUGUGUACUUUAAUAUCUUUUUAAAGUUUUACUGGGCACCAUGAUUUCUAGGUAGAUGGUGUGAAAACGCCCCUGGCAAUUUGCUCACUUAGUGAAUUGAUGACGCAUCACCUAGAGACAAAGAAUGCACUUGUAGUUUGUGAAGAAUGGCAAUAGCUUUCUGUUGUUGCAGAAAAAUACUGCAAGGACUUGUGAUUGUUCUUCUAGGCAUAAAUUGCUUGAAUGUAUCUUGUAACCAGGCUGUAGUAUUGAAAGUUUUAUUCAGACUUCAGUAAAAAAGAAAUAAGGAAGUUCAAUAUGUCGCACCACAGAGAGGAAAGAAAUGGCUGAAGAGAGGCAUCUAGUGUAGCGUAGCAAAGGGACAAUUUAUGACCACGUGUAGAUAGAUCUGAAGGGCAUAGUACAUUUUAUCACUAUUGUGAUGCAACAAAUGUUUUUCAACAUGCUAGAGUUUGUUUGAUGAGCUUGGUUAUCAUAUUAUUAAAAUUUUUCUUUCUUGUGGA
rnacentral:misc_RNA from 1 species